rnacentral:rRNA from 1 species
AUGGCCUCCGCCGAGAAUAACAAAGACUGCCACCCUAGCGACAAGGCCGCGCUUCUGGCCAUCAAGUCCGCCUUCGGCAAUCAGAGCCACUUCGCCUCAUGGACUCCUUCCACCCCGUGCUGCGAAUGGCACGACGACACUUGCAACGACGCCGGUCGCGUCAUCUCCCUCAUCUUCUUCGUGGAUGUCAACCUCACGGGCACCAUCCCGGACGCCAUUUCCGGCCUCACCGAGCUUCUCGUCCUCAACCUCUAUUACCUCCCGGCCAUCUCCGGCCCUAUCCCCAAGGGAAUCGCCAAGCUAUCCAAGCUCACCUCGCUCACCAUCGCUCUUACCGCCGUUUCGGGCCCCAUUCCGUCCUUCCUGGGCGAACUGACCAGGCUCAAAGAACUCACCCUCUUCUCCAACUCCCUCUCCGGCACCAUCCCGGCCUCGCUCGGGGGCCUCCGUUACUUAGAUUCCAUCGAGCUCAGAAACAACAGUCUCACAGGCACCAUCCCGCCGCUCUUCUCCAAAUCCACUCUUCUCCCAGUCCUUUUGCUCUCCAACAACCACCUCUCCGGCUCCAUCCCGGCAGAGUUCGCUGCAGUCGGCUUCCUGCAAGUCGACCUCUCCCACAACGCUCUCACGGGCGACGCGUCCGUGUUCUUCGGAAGGACAAAGGAACUGCAAAGCAUUGACCUGUCCCACAACGCCCUCAGCUUCGACCUCUCCAGCGUGGAGUUCCCGGAGGAGAUGCAAGCCAUGGAUGCGAGCCACAACGCCAUCCGCGGCGGCAUCCCAGCGCAGGUGGCGAAUGUGACGAACCUGCGGCAGUUCAACGUGAGCUACAACAAGCUGUGCGGCCAGGUUCCGGCCGCCUUGGCAAGGUUGGAUGCCUACAGCUUCCGGGGCAACAAGUGCCUGUGCGGUGCGCCCCUCCCAGAUCCAUGCAAGAAAUAA